rnacentral:rRNA from 1 species
GACGAACGCUGGCGGCGUGCUUAACACAUGCAAGUCGAGCGGAAAGGCCCUGCUUUUGUUCGGUUCUCGAUUGGCGAACGGGUGUGUAACACGUGAGUAACCUCCCCUUGACUUUGUGAUAACUUCAGGAAACUGGGGCUAAUACCCGAGAUGAUCUCCUGCUGCAUGGUGGUGGUUGGAAAGUUUCGGCUGUUGGGGAUAGACUCGCGGCUUAUCAGCUUGUUGGUGGGGUAGUUGCUUACCAGGGCUUUGACGGGUAGCCGGCCUGAGAGGGUGAACGGCCACAUUGCGCCUGCGGUACGGACCAGAAUGCUACGGGAGGCAGCAGGGGGGAAUAUUGCACAACGGGGGGGAGUCUGAUGUAGAGAUGCUGCGUGCGGGAUGACGGCUUUCGGGUGAAAAACCGAUGUGGACUGUGACGUAGCGUGCGUGACGGUAAUGAGUAAAGAAGCAACGGCUAACUACGUG